rnacentral:lncRNA from 1 species
AUGGUUGUGGAGAUGCUCGUAAUUCUAAUUAAAAACAGCAAUGUUGCCGGAGUUGAGAUUAUGGAUAAUUCUUUAAUAAUUAGUCAACUUGCAGAUGACACUACUCUUUUCUUAAAAAACGAACAUCCGAUUCUCCUGGUAAAACAAAUAAUCACUACAUUCUCAAAAGCUUCAGGCUUAAAAUUAAAUUUAAAUAAAUGUGAACAAUUGGCGUUAAAGGAAUGUCAGUCACAGUUUUUGUACGAUAUACAGGUGAAAAAGGAAGUAAAAUAUCUGGGCAUCACAAUUUCAAAAGAUCACAAAGUCUUAGAAAAAGUAAAUAUUUCAGAUAAUGUUGACAAAUGCAAGACAAUUUUAAAUAACUGGUUACAAAGAGACAUCACAAUUUUUGGAAGAAUAUUAUUAACCAAAAUGGAUAGUUUAUCUAGAUUUAUAUAUCCAGCUUAUUCUUUAUCAAUAUCAAAUAAAGUUAUUAAAACAAUUAAUAGCUUAAACUUUAAUUUUAUUUGGAGAAAUAAAUGCCAUUAUAUAUCUAAAGAUGAUUUGGUUAAACCAUACACUGAAGGAGGUGGAAACGCAAUUGACUUUGAUGUAAUGAAUGGUGUUUUGAAAUUUAAAUGGUUAAAAUCCUUCCUAAAUAAUCCACACUCCAUCUGGUUUUUUAUACCAAGUAAGGUCUUGAACACACUGGGGGGUAUCGAUUUUCUUCUAAAAUGUGACUUUGAAAUUACUAGGUUACCUAUUAAACUCUCUGUAUUUCAUAAGCAGGUCCUUCUUUAUUGGAAAAUGUUAUUUAAACAUAAUUUCACUCCACAUAAUAGCCCAAUUUGGAACAAUAGAUAUAUGCUAAUGAACAGAAAAUCUUUAUCCAAGAUUGGUUAUCAAAAGGUGUUUGGGCAAUUGCCCCUUUUUGUAGAUAAAGAAGGACAUGUUCUAGAACAUCAAGAUUUUUGCCCAAAAUUUUAUAUCCAAUGUUCUAAAAAUAAAUUUAAUCGGGUUAUAAAUCCAUUCCACUGUCACUUAAAAACAUAG